rnacentral:rRNA from 1 species
UUUCGGGGUUGUGCACUCGCUGUUUACUGGGCCAGCAUCGGUUUGAACGGUGAGAUAAUAGCAUUGGAAUGUGGCUUAGCUUCGGUUGAGUGUUAUAGCCUUUGUUGAUAUCACCAGUUUGGACCGAGGACCGCGCAUUUAUGCUAGGAUGCUGGCGUAAUGAUUUUAAGCCACCCGUCUUGAAACACGGACCAAGGAGUCUAACGUCUAUGCGAGUGUUUGGGUGUAAAACCCGUACGCGUAAUGAAAGUGAACGUAGAUGAGGGCCUUUUACGAGGUGCAUCAUCGACCGAUCCUGAUGUUUUCGGAUGGAUUUGAGUAAGAGCAUAGCUGUUGGGACCCGAAAGAUGGUGAACUAUGCCUGAAUAGGGUGAAGCCAGAGGAAACUCUGGUGGAGGCUCGUAGCGGUUCUGACGUGCAAAUCGAUCGUCAAAUUUGGGUAUAGGGGCGAAAGACUAAUCGAACCAUUAACCUAAAGUUACUUGACUUAGGUCAGUUACUAGGUGGUUAAGAGGAAUAACUGCGAGAUUAUUCCUAGUUCUGGGAGACAGAGCGAGACCGUCAAAUUGCUGGAACACCCUAAAGACACAUAGUACUAAGUUAGCUUGGAAACGAGUUAAUGGUGCAAUUCUCCAUUGCAGAGUAAUAACCUUUGUGUAUGUAACAAUGGGCAAUCAGCAGCCAAGUCCUAAAGCAACGAAAGUUGUCACGGAUGCAGUUCAGAGACUAGAUGGUGGUCGGUGCACUUUUCUUAAAGUGUGCUUAAGAUAUAGUCCAAACCCAACUGAGAAGUUGGCCGUUGAUCAAAGCUAGAGUUGUGUUCUCCGCUGUGCUAAACAGUUACAACUCCCGCCCGAAAUCAAUGGGUUUGGUUCUAA